AUUCGACCCCAGGCCUGACUUACUCUGAAACCUGUCCUCUACCUACGGUGCUGAACUGUUUCCAGGAGGCCGAAAGACGGGUGGACAUGCUGACUACUACAACAGUCCAGGAGAAAGAAGGGAGGGGGCUGGAGAGGACUCGCUCGAGGCUGUGUUGGAGAGAGGAAGAGACUGGAUGCAAAAUGAGGAAGCUGACCAUUCUCCUGAUUCAACGAGUCUGUUCUAGGAGCCAUUCUUGGAUCCCACAUUGCAUUUGGUCAUGGUUUGGUUUUGUGGUUUUUGCACUAAAGCCUCAGGGAUGUGGCAGAAAGCUAGAGUGGAGGUGAGAGAGACUUUUAGAAAACCUAUGGUAUAGUUUACCUUUAGUAGAAUUCAGCCUUUAUAGUGUACAGGACAGCGGGUUUUGAUAAAUGCACACAGUCAUGUAGUCGCCACCACUAUCAUGAUACAGAGCAUCUCACCCCCAGCAUUCCCACCUGCCCCUCAGUAGUCAACCCUUCCCCCGUCUUCAGCCCAGACAACCGCUGUUCCAUUUUGAUAGUUUUGCCUUUUCCGGAAAGUCAUAUAAAUAGAAUCACACAAUAUGUAGUCUUUUGGGGUCUGGCUUCUUUUCCUUAUUAAAAUGCAUUUGAGAUUCAUCCUUGUUGCUGUUUGUAUCAGAACUUCGUUUCUCUUUAGUGCGGAGCAGUGUUCCAUUGUAUGGAUAUGCUGGCUUGUUUAUCUGUUUACCAGUUGAAAGACACUUGAGGGGCUCCCGGUGUUUGACAAUUGUGAAUAACGUCUCUACAAACAUUCCCACACAGGUUUGUGUGUGUACAUAGUUUGCCUUUCUCUUGGGUGAAUACCUAUGAGUAGGAUUGCUGGGUUGUGUGGUGAGUGUAUGUUUAACUUUAUAAGAAAGUGACAAAUUGUUUUCAAAACUGGCUGUACGACUUUGCAUUCCCGAAAAGCAAGACGCAUGAGUUCCAGUUGCUUGACUCAGUCAGCACUUGUUAUUGUCAGGUUAUAAUUAUUGCUGUUGUUGUUGGUAUUUUAGCCAUUCUUUUUGGUGUAAGUCUCAGAGUUUUAUAGCCUUUCUUUCUAUCUCUGCUGUCUCAGGAUUCUCUGGGUACUAGAAACUUCAGGACUGCAGUUUUUAGGAAGGGUGACUGUCAGCAAGUGUGUUGAAGAGAAUCAGGACAAGGCAAAGGCAGGCGGGCACUAGGGCACGGGGCUGGCAGUGGAGCGCCUGGGGGAGGCAUCCAGGGUGGCAGGACCUGAAAGACCUGGCCUGUCCACUCAGGGCUUGUUGGUAGUGGGAAAGGGUCUCUCGGGGCCCAGGAGGAGGCCCCACUGCCUCGGCACCUCCCCAACCUUCCAGCCAUUUCCCACAGAGAGAACGGCAAUCUCCUGGGAUCCCCACAGGCUUGAGCGGGGAGGAGGGGCCUGGGAACCAGAAGCCUGGCUUGCGGCCCAGUUGUGUGACACCUGAAUCUUGGGGAGGGUGGCUGAGGGACCAGGUCCCUGGAGCCUCCAGGGACAACUGGGGACAGGGAGGGGCAGCUCAAGUUUCAUCACUGCUUGGUGUGUGACCUGGGCUCUGACUGGGCAGCAGGAUGAUGCCAGGCCCUGGCCCCUGCGAAGAGACACCUUUCACCAGGAAACCACCGUCCUUUCCCAGCUCCACAGGCAGUGCCCCGGCCCAGACUUUAGGUCCUGUGGUCUAGAAGUGAAGGGACCAGAAUUCAGUCAGGCCCCAGGACGGGAGCCUGGAGAGUUCAGGCGGGGGAGUGUGGGGUGUAUGUGUGCCUCUGUGUCACAGGCGUCUGUGGCACCGGGAGGGUGUCGUGGAGGGACCAGUAAUCUCCAAAUAUUUGUUUUCAGUUUGUGAGCUGUGUGACCUUGGAUAAGUAAUGUAGCCUCUUUGGGUCUUGGUUUUCCUUAUUUUUGACUCAACGGUUUGGACUUGCAUGAUUUCCAAAUUUCACUGAAUAUCAGCAUCACUGGGAUUUGUUUUAAUAAACUACAGAUUCCUAGACUCCA
rnacentral:lncRNA from 1 species